CUUAAGAAGUUGAAUGUAUGGAACUGUAAUAAGCUUAAAAAUGUGAUCCCACCUGCCAAGUUGCCUAGUUCACUCACCUCUGAAGUUGACACUCUUGGAAGCAACACAGAUUCGGUCGCUGGCAGAGCUUCUGAAGGACAAGUGAAGGCCAUGAAUUCUCAUAAUCCAAACAAAAAAUUACAAAUUUUUUUGAAGAAAACUGUGCUUGUGUCGAAAUCUGUAUGCAGGAGGACCCCGACGAUAACAGAAGAAAAUUUGAAUGAUCCCUCUGAUAUUUUAGUUCAAGUUCCGUCACAGAACACAAGGGUAUGUCCAUUGGUUGAAAUGAGUUUACAGAAAUUGCCUUGUUUGGAAAAGACAGGGUUGAACUUUGAGGAUCCAUCUGGAGUAGUGAGUACUUACCCAUAUCUUGAAAAAUUAAAUAUAUGUGAAUGCAACAGAUUGGAAAACGUGUUCAUAUCUUCUCGUGAUGCAAAUUUUAAGAAUCUUGAGGACAUGUCCGUCACUAAUUGCAUUAUAAUGAGAGAGAUAAUCGGGGCAGGUGACCAAAAAAUUGCCAAUGGCAUUGUGUUCCCUAAGUUAUGUUCUGUUAAACUAACGGAGUUGUUAAGUUUGACCAGUUUUUGGGGGUACCCGAGUGAAGAAGCUAACAGCCACAAGGUAUAUUUACAUUUACUGCCAAAUGAGUAACAUUGAUAACAUGCAUUUGUUUGUGUGCUUGAGUAUAUAUAUAAAUGCUUAAUUCUCUUAUGUAUGGCUGAUAAAACGCGAUAUUCAGGACCUGAUUUUCAUGUAUAUAUACUUAAAAUCUUCAUCUAGUUAGAGCUCCUGUUUGCUGUAAAAGUUUUUAGGUAAAGAUUUUCUAAAGUUAGGCAUAUGCAUUAUCAUAAAGAAUGACAUUGUUUUGUGUAGGUUGAAUUCCCAAAUUUGAAGAGUUUUGAACUCAGCUGUGGCAAAAUUACUAGCUUGGAAAUGAUAGAGUUUGGCAGCAGAGAUGGCUCUAUUUUUCGGCUGGAGAAGUUAGAUAUAAGUUGUGAUGAGGAGAUACAAAUUCCCAACCAAUGGCUACCUCAUUUGAAUAAUCUGGAAAGAUUGUCACUGAGACGCUGUUGGUCAGAUGAGCUGAAAUCUCUACAUUUCGCAAAAUUGAAGGUGCUCUUACUUCAAGAACUUAGUUGCUCAACUAUUUUCUCAUUCCCAGACUUUGAAAGACUUCAACAGCUCCGAGGAUUAGUGAUAACAAAAUGUAAUUCAUUGGAAGCUAUUGUGGAGGUUGUUGAGGGUGAAGAAGCUUCUGACAUGGAUACGGAGACUGUUGCACUAGUUCAGCUGGAAUCAGUCCAUCUUGAGGGUUUGCCAAAACUCAAAAGUUUUAUGCACACAAAGCCUAAGAAUCUUAUCCCCAGUUUAGAGCAUGUGGAAGUGGAGCCCUCCAUUCUUUUCAUGUGCCCUGUCUUUGGAAAUUUCCAACAGCUCAAAAGGUUACAAGUGAUUGAUUGCAGAUUGUUGGAAGGCAUUGUGGAGGUUGCAAGAGGCUAUGAGACGGAUGACAGGAUUAUCACAUUCCCUAAACUCUCUGACAUUCAUCUUAGAGAUUUGCCAAACCUCCAAAAUUUCAGUCCCACUACAAGCUAUAGUUUCAACAUGCCCAAAUUAUUUCAUUUUCAUAUGUUUCGUUGUCCCCGGGUUGAGAAUAAACCCUUAUUACAAAUAAUCGCACAACGGGUACUUGUUUAUUCCGAUGAGCAUCCACAAGGGAUUGUCAUUCUAAACCUCAACGAGUACACAAGAAGAAUAAAAAACCUCGAAAGCGUCGGGGAAUCAAGUAACAGCCAUCAGGAUGUGGAGAUGGAAACCAUAACAGUUGCAGAAGAGGAAGACAGAGUUGUUGAACAAGAGGCAGAGGUAGUUGUUGUAGGAGAAGAAAGAGGAAUAGAGGAAGAUUCGUAAUUCAAUUGUUUUUCAUCAACUCAGCUUUCUUUUCCUUUCUUUCUCAAAUGUCUCAGACUGUGCAUUGUUUUGUAUUUGUUUUUCAAGGAAAUCUGACGCUGAAUUGUGAGAUGUGAAAAGUGUCAAGCUCUUAGCUAUUUGAAUUACAAGAUCAACAGACAGGCCUUGUCUUGGAGGUUCUUCGACUCAAGUAACACAUUCUUCGUUACUACUUUAUUCACAUAAGUCAUUACUUUUUUUAUCUUUUGAUAGCAACAUAUAAAUCACUGGAUAGGUUUGUCAUUAGGUUAGGUUCUGCGUUUUUAACAGGUAUGACAGAUUUAACAGGUUAGGCUUAUUUCCAGAUUUCCUCCCUUGCAACUUUUUUAGGCCUCCCUGAAAAGUUACGGUCCGAAAUGUGUACUUACUUACUUUGUUGAUGUCUCGAUAUAAGAAUCAAGAAAGUAAGGAACAGAAACUGAGCUCCGAAAAAAUAUUCAAUGAUGAAUGCAAGACAUUCUACUUUGCGGGUAAGGAAACGAAUGCUAAACAAUCUUGUGUCUGUGGAGAGAGUUCAUCUCCAAGUGCUGAUAAUUUAACCGACUUAAAGAUUGUAAGUCAUAUUUUCAUUUCAUACUGCUUUUUUUAAAUUUGUUGUUUUCAUAGAAUUAACGACCUUUUUGAACUUCUAAAAUUAACUAGAAGUGAUAAAUCUAAAUGGAUAUCCUUGCAUUCAACAUUGGGAGAGUGAUAAUUAGUAAUACCCGAGUGGAUAAAAUGCCUGAAUUGUGUGUGUUUGUUGGCAGAUAAACAUGAUUCUGAAUGAAACACUUCGACUCUACCCACCAGAUGUGAUGCUAACGAGGGAGACGAAUAGAACUGUAAAGCUAGGCAACCUCCAAAUUCCAGCUGAAACGCAGCUCUAUUUGCCUAUGACUGCAAUUCAUCAUGACACUGACAUAUGGGGAGCAGAUGCAAAAGAGUUCAAUCCUAUAUGUCCAUGCUCCAAGGCAGUUGAUGACCAUGCAACCUCAAUUUGGGGCACAAAUACUUUUUACUAGAAUUCCCUGAGUGAAGCCUAUAAAACAGACCAGAUUAUUGUUUUCGACUAAUACUUUUGUCUUGUAGAAUAUUAUGACAGGUCAGCUCAAUAUGUAUGUAUAACACAAUAUGAGUGGCAACAAGCCUUCUAAUUAUAUAUUUCAAGAUUUUUUAAAAUGCGAGUUUGAACGGUCUUCUACCAAAGGCACAGGAAAAACGAACCUAAAAAGUCGAUCUUCAUUUAUAUUUUGACCAUGUAAUGUUGAUCUUACAAACUUUGUCAGAUCAUGUGUUGUUGGAUUGAGGUCUAGUACGGUGGUCAUCACUAAAAUUUACUUUAAAGAGAGAUUUUAAAGAAUUCAUCUGUUCCCCAAUGAACUCUGGAAAACCCCUGCCGGGAUUCUGUUAUAUUUAUUGUUGAUGAACAAAUCUUUGUUCUUUUGUACUUGAGGGUUAAAUUUUAUGCGGUGUUUUAGUAUGAUAUCGGUCCUGGUUCUAUGGAGUUGGCGGAAAUUUCUUAUCUUUUUGGAUCUAUAGGGACUCAGCGCUUGUUGGUGACACUCUUUAUUCUAUGGUCUGUGGAAGUUACUCACAUUGAAGAUGGAGGUAUGAGAUCAGUGUUAAAUGGAGGUUGUUUGAUACGGUUCGAAUGCAUAGAGAAUAGGCCCAUAAAUGUCAACAAAAACAGUGACUCCACGUCCACGAGACGGAAGUUCCUGACUAUGAAAAAUUGAUUUUUUUCCCUUUUUCUAUAAAUCUUUGUGAAGGUGGGGAAUCUCUUUUUACUUAAAAAAAUACGGUUGUUUUAUGGUGGGCACACACUAAACACUAAUUUUUAUGAUUUUGGUGCAUUCUUAUUGGUCAUGUAAUCAUAAAUAUGAAUGCCUCCUACAUUUACACCAAAUCCACCAAUUAAAAUCCACUAAACUCAUCAAAUUUAGUGCUUAAUGUGUGCUCUUGGACACACACUAGAAAGAUCCCAAAAAAAUAUACUCCCUCCGUCUCGUUAAACUUUUCCUGUUUCAAAUGUUGGGACUGUUCAUAACAUGAGACAAAUUAUUAAUUUACGUCUAAUCUAUAAGACUAAAUAUAGUCAUGAGUGAUCUUGUUGGAUUCGUAUUUACGAGUACUUUAAUACAGUGAAAUUUUUAUAUUUAAUGCUAAUACGAAAUUAAAGAUAUUAACGAUUAAAAAUGUGCGUUGGCAAACGUGUCCGGUCAAAACAGGAAAAGUAUUUAGAGACGGAGGGAGUACAAAGUUGGUUUGGAUGUUUGGCGAUACCGCCGCGAAGCACGACCUUGACAAUUAGUUUAUUAUAACAUAAAGAUUCUAAUAUUAUUAUAGAAAUGAUACUCCAAUGCUAAAUAUGCUUUUCAUCUUAUAAACACUAUAAAUUAUUAAUCCUUUUUAAUUUAUAGUAAAGUAGCUGUAUAAUGUAUAAAAUAAUUACUAAUGAUUCGAAAGGCACUAAUAAUUCUAAAGGCGCCCGCCAUAGUUGAACUGCCCACUUUAGUCCAGAGAGCAUUCAACAAACAAUACACCAAUGCAUUGAAUAAACUCAGCCGGCUGAUUCCUUUUUCUUAACCUUUAGAAUUAUUAGUGGUUUUUGAAUCAUUAGUAAUUAUUUUAUAAAAGACACCCACCCACUAAUGACCAAUCAAAUACAAAAGACGCCAACUAAUCUUCCACUAAUGUCAGUUUACCAACCCGGGAGCAUCUUCUGCUUAUUUCCUGUCAUCUAAAAAAAAAAAAUAUUUUCAUAAUUCUAAAAUAUAAAAACUAGGAAUUAAUGAUCAGAACAAUUAUAUUGAAUAAUUAUUUAGUUUUACGAAGUUUCCUAUCAGUCUAAUCGCAAUCUCCUUCCCUUGAUAACUGUUAUCGUCUCCCAUUAUCAUUAACUUCAGCCUAGAAACUGGAAAAUAAAAUAUUAAUGAUUAUUCAAUUCUAUUCCAGCCUCUAUCCUAAUUUUACAUACAGAUUUUAUAGUGUGUGCUGAGCACAUAUUAAAAUCCACUUUUUAAUUAGGUGUUGUAUAUUGACUCGCAUCCCUUUAACAAUGAUGGUCAUCUUCCUCUUAAUUAAAAAGUGUACCGACCCUUUUCCAUACUCCUUCCGUCCUAUUUGAUUGUAUACAGUUUCUUUUUUGGAUGUCCCAUCAAUUGUAUACAUUCCAAAAAUGGUAAAUUUUUAUAAUAUAAAAAACUUAACUACACUCACUGCCUUCUUCCACUACACCCGCUUUAUACAUUAAAAAUUAGUAGGUUCCACCAUUUUACUAACCCUACACUUAUUUUACACAUUAAAUAUUAAUGGGUCCCACUAUUUCAUCCACUUUUCUUACUUUCGUGCCACUUCCCAUACGUAUACUAAUUACUGGGACGGAGGGAGUAUAACUCUUGUUAAUAAGCCAGGCAUACGCAAGGGUCAUACGUACCUAACCUUGCUAUCUACUCCAAUAUUCUCAGUCUAAAGACUCCAAACGGAACCUUUCAAACAUAAACUGUUACAUACAGAUAUAAUAUAUAUUUGAUCAUAGUUAAAAAUUCUAAACGCUACUGGUGAGUGGUGAUUGGAGAACUUGUACGAUAAAUACUGCACACUAAGGGAGAAUUCUGAAAUUCUUUUUCCCACUCAUCUUAUUGUCUGAUCAUCAACUCGCUUCUAGCUUUCCUCGCUAUAUUAUUGCCGCCCAGCUCUUUUCUACUUCUCUCUUGUUAGUCAUUGUUGAAGUUUAAGCAAUUUCAUCAGCAUCUUUCCUCUCUUUUCACCAUAAAAAAAAUUUGAAAAAAUCAUGAUAGAUCUGAAUUCCAUUCCAUUUGUAGGACCGUUGGUAGCUAAAAUUUCCGACAAGACAAUAGAAGCACUGUUCCGACAUGUAGAAUAUAUGUUCCGUUACAAGGGUCUUGUUAAGGAUCUGAAAUCUGAAAAUGAUAAACUUCUGGCUGAGGAGACGAAGAUGUCCAGAAAAGCUGAGCAAGAAAGUAACAAUGGUAGAAUACUGGAGAAGUAUGUGGUGGAGUGGCAGAAAGAAGUCCAAGAAGAGCAGGAGAAAGUCACGAGGUGUUUGCAAGAAAAUGAGAAGCUAAAGAGCCAACAGCAAAACUGUCCUCGCUACAUCCGCUAUAUCCCACUUCCUCAUCCCAUCUCUCGUUAUAGAUUAGGCAAGGAGGCGGCCAAGGUGGCCAAGAGCACAACUGAGCUUACUGCAACCGGAAGUCACCACCUGGCAAGUCAAAUUGCAUAUCUUCCUCUGGAUAUGAAUGUACCUGUAACUGCAUUUCAAGAGUUCAAAUCUAGAGAAAAGGCUUAUGAAAAGCUGGAGGAGCUAGUGACAGAUGGAAGCUCUUCAAUCCUUGGGAUAUAUGGAAUUGGAGGAGCCGGGAAGACUCGAUUAAUGGAGCGAAUCACCACAGAAGCUGGUAAGAAGGGAACCUUUAACAAGGUCGUCCGAGCCAAUGUGGGGAAUGAGAAAUUGGAGAACAAGACCAUCAUAAGCAUACAAAACCAGAUUGCAGGUAAUUUAGGUUGCGUUUUUGAACGUCAAGAUGAUGUGGGACAUAGAGCUGGUCAGCUGAGAUCUAGUUUAAAGCAGGGGGGUAAGAUACUCAUCAUCUUAGAUGAUGUAUGGAGUAGGAUACCUUUAGGUACUAUCGGAAUCAUGUCUGCAGAUGGUAUGAGUUCCAAAGGAGGUAAGAUUCUUUUGACGACACGAGAUCACGAGGUAUGCCAGCGUAACGACUGCGGGGAUCUAGUCAAAGUAGAACCUCUUACACCUGCCGAAGCUUGGGAUAUGUUCAGUGAAACAGUUGGUGCUAAGAUAAUCGACUCUCUGCAGAAUAUAUCCGUUGCCGAAGACAUCUGUAAGAGAUGCGGGGGUUUACCACUAGUCAUUCUUGCUGUAGGUAACGCCCUCAAAUUUAAGCCUCUUGAUUCAUGGAAGGAUGCACGCAAUCAACUUAAAUUUUUCAAAAUUCAAGAACUUCCUGGAAUAAGCAAAGACGUGUAUGCGUGUUUAAAGUGGAGUUUUGAUAACUUGGUGGACGAUGCGAAGGCAUGUCUCUUGUUGGCUUCUAUAUUCCCUGAAGAUGCUCACAUUUAUGUUAGCGAGUUGGUUGAGUUAGCAAGAGGCUCCCAGCUUAUAAAGGCUGAUGAUAUAAGAACAAGAGUAUAUUCAAUGAUUUAUAUUCUCAAGUCAGCCUCGUUGGUGCUUCAAGUCCGUUGGGGUAUUAUUGAACGUAUCAAACUACAUGACAUAAUAAGGGACAUGGCAAGAUCCAUUGCUACCAAAGACUACGCAUUCUUAUUCGCAACAAGUAGCUCGUUGCCCAAGCAUCCUGCUGAUUACUCCGGUCUGAAAGUUCUGCAUAUAGAUGUCGAGGAGGAGACUAGUCUACGUUUUCCAAGUAAUGUAAAGUGCCCAGAACUGCAUACACUGUCGCUAUAUUCAUCAUCAUGGACAUCAUCAUGGAAAACACCACGUACACUGAUACAGCAGGUAUUCAAAAACUGUUUUACAUAUUCGCUCAAUUUUUGAUUUAUGAUAACUAUAUAUCUGAUGAUAGAAUAAAAAUAAGUGAUUUGACGACAGAUAAGUUUAAACGAUAUGAAUUGUUAUGAAACAGGAUUUAUGAGUCACAUUUCAUUAAUUAAUGCUAUCGUCUAAUAUAAGCGUUAUUUAACUUUUAUAAUUAUUAUAUUAUAAUUGCUAUAAAAUUUUACUAAAUUCUGAUGUAAAUAAUAAAUUAAAUAUUGAGUCAUACAUUAAUCAAGAUUGUGGAAUUGUAUAAUAUCAAAAAUUAAUUAUAUUUUAGGUGUCUAAUUUUUAAUAUAAAUUAAAUUAAGUAAUAUGUGAUUUAUAAUACAUGAACCCGAUCCACUUGUUUAUUCUAAUGAAAAAAUAUUUAUUUUGAUCUUGAUUAAUUAACGAGAUAAAUAAAAAUAUAUACUAAUUUAAAUAUAUUAAUUAAAUUAAUUUUUUUAUUUAUGCUAAAAGAUUAAUUAUUUAAAAAGUAUUCCAGUUAAAGGGAAAAUUUUAUUCUUGUACAAAUACCUUUAAAAUAAAGUUACAUAUGAACUAAAUACAAAAUAUUAAAGUCUAUAAUAUAUAUUUAAAAUAUGAAAAUUAUAAGUAAAUAUUAAAAAUUUGUACAGGGAAAUACUCAGUUUAAAAGGAAGGCCUCCAACAAUUGACAAAGGCCAGGUAUUUUGGACAUUCUCAAACAUACUCGUAUGAUGUUUUUUGAACAAAAAGAACAAUCUUAUAAUAACAUAUUAUUAGACAGUGUUAUUUGAUUUGAAAAUUAUAUAUGAUUGAAUUUUUGGAAUGAUAUAUAUUUAAUAUCCCGUGAAAACUUCUCACUGUUAAUAUUGUUGUACUGAUUUUUACAAAGAUGACUUAUAAUACAUAUCAUAAAAAAGUUUAGUUUGAUAACUAAAAAAUUUAUGAAUUUUUUAUAGUCUUCUACUAUAAAUUUGAAAUCUUUUAUAUUUAUUUUCGAUUAUCGGAUAACUCUCUCUCGUAGGCUUUUGUUUAUCAAUGUUUCUAGAUUUCUUAAUCAUUCUCUCACAGUAGUAUGGAUCGAUGAUUAUGUAUUUUAUAUGUAUUAUAGUUUUAAAAAUUUUGUUUAGCCAAAUCUUUAAUUUAUCCUCAGUUUUCAUGGUACCUCUGUGCAUGAGGUAUUUACCUCAAAACAAAUUUGAUUAAAAAUAGAUCUAAUUUUAUUGUUUGGUUCAAAUAGGUAUUUUAAAUUGUUUAUUUUGCAUAUAGCUAAGUUUAGAGUGUUGUUUAUAAUUGGGUGCCGGCCCACUCUAAAUUUAUUUAUAUUAUACAUAUUCUACAUCCUCUUUUAUAUCAAAUUGUGCAUGUCUUUUAUUAUUUCAAUUCACCAACUAUCGGAUAAUUUAAUACAAAGUAGAUGUAAGGGAAUGCAUAAAUCACCACCCUUGUUAUUUUUAUAAGAAAAUAAUACAAAAAAUAAAUAUGAUUACUCUAAUGUUAAAUUUGAAGAACAUGUACGAGUUCUUUAAAAUUUAGUUGUUGUAUUUAAGAGCAUUCACAUCCGGACCCAACCCUCAAUCCCAAAAAUUUACUAAAAAUAUUAAUUCCUCAAAAAAAUUACAAAUUUUUAAAAGUUUCUUACAUCCCAUUCCCUAUAUUCAAUCCCUAUUCUCAUAGAAGUAUAAGAUAAGAAUUGAUAUUUAAUAAAAUUAUAAUGAAAUGAUAAUGAAAUGGAGGAUGAAUAAUGUAUGAGGUACAAAUAGUGAAACUCCAAAUAUGGGGAUUUAUUUCUAGUCCCAAAACCAAACCUUAUUUUGGGAUCUGAAUGUAGACUACGUUUUUACAAAAAAUAGUAGAUUUCUUUAAAAUAAAUUAUGGAGAUGCGGUUGGCUUUGGGGGUUAGGGAUGUGAAUGCUUGAUAUGAUUGAUCCAAAAUUUUGUUGUGGAAUAAUUGAUAUGGUUGAUCCAAAAUUUAGUUUUGGAAUGAUUGAUAUGAUGAUUGCUCCAAAAUUUAGUUUUGAAAAAAUUAGUACUAUUGAUUUAAAAUUUAGAUAUUAGCUUUAAUUGAUUAAAAAUGAAUUAAAUUUAACCGGAAGUUAGUUAAACUCAAUAAAAGACAAGAUCCAACCAAUAAAUUUGAUUGGUCUAAAAUUUAAUUAUGAUAGUUUAAAAUUAUUUCAAAAAUGGGUCUAAAAUUUAGGUGUGAAGAUUAAAAAUAAAUCAAAAUUCACGGUUAUAUAUCUCAAAAGAUGAAGACUUAACAUUAUUGAUCUAAAUUUAACCGUCAUAUCAAAUUAUCUCAAAAAUCACUAAUCGGUUAAGUCAAUGAUUCAGGAGACUCGUGUCUUUGUAAUUAUCUUCCUAUAAUUUUGAUAUGAAUAAAAUGAUUAUUUAUUCUUUUUUUAAGCAACAUAUACAACACAUAACACAUUUCAUCCUUAUUAUUGGUUAGCUUCCUGAAAAAGCGAAUCAGCGUGAUCUUUGCAAAUAUGAUAACUACACAGUUAUAAUAUUUGUUCGUAAAAUUUAUACCUUUAAACAUUUGAUUAGACGUAUAUGUGAGGUAGAGUUACCUAUCAAUCCUUAUAUUUGUUCCCAUAUUAUUAUUUUAAUAAUAAAUUUGAGAGACAAAAUAGAAAAUAGACAAAGACCAAGAAAGAAGAGGAGAGAUGAAUUUUUUAUUCAUAAAUAUUAAAUAUGUAAUGACCAAUAAUUAUUUAAAAAUAGAUAAUGGAUACCGUAUCUAAAUAUGAGUUUAAGAACUUAUUUAACUAAUCUAUUGGACUCUUUAAGAUCUCAUCCUCUUCUGUAAGGCCAUAAGUAGUCAUAUUUGUCAAAGAAAAUAAAAAAGCUGUUAUUUUGAAAAUUCUAAUUAUGUCUGCACUUGAUGCAUGUUAUAUGCUGGUGAAAUAAAACACAAAAAAUAACGAUUCUUGCUUAAAUUUCAGGACUGGAUCAACGGUAAAAUAUUUACAAAUCUCAUAUUUCUGGUGCUUGUGGGGUUUUCCUGGCCAAAGAAAUUGUCUCUCAAAUCAUUGGGUGAACUUAAAACGCUUUGGUUCGACAAUUGUGACCUAGAGUUCUUUGGUGAGACGGAUGUUAAAAUUCUUCCAGAGGGACUGGAAAAUCUUUGUAUUUGGGGGUCUCGUAUGCCAAAACAGUUGAAUGUACCAGAACUGAGCCAUCUUCGAAAGCUAGACAUCUAUUCCAGUUCCGGAGGUAGAUUAUGUAUGGUGCCAAAUACCAUAUCAAGACUAUCCACUUUAGAAGAAUUACGUUUGCCAUCUAAUUUCUACAUCAAUGAAGAAUGUGCAGAAGGUGGAUCAUUGUCGGUAUUGGACGAGAUUAGUGAAUUGCCACUGACAAGUUUACAUAUUCGUUCCCGAGUAUCCAAGUCAAGUAAACUUGCAACUAUGUUUUCCAACUUACGUGAAUUCCAUUUGUUUGUUGGUGAGCCGCCGGCUAAUAAUCGGUCUAUGAAUCUGUCACCUGUUUCAGUGACGAAGUCAAUUAAGUUGGUCAACCACGAUCUUGUAGAGGGCUACCAGACUCUAUUUCAGAAGGCUGAAGAGGUGAUAUUGUAUGAGACUGAUUUCCCAGGGAGUAGCAUUGGGAUCAGAGACACUAAAGAAUUUAUCAACUUAAGGUACAUGCAAAUUGAAAAUUGCAAGGCCAUGGAGUAUCUAGCAAGGAUUUCAUCACCACAGGGUGAGAUUCAGGAAAGUCUUCAGCGAUCAACACCUUUUUCUAACCUGAUCAAAUUGGAAAUUAAGUGUUGUCUCAGCCUAAAAUACCUCUUCUGCGACUCUAUUGCAAGAUGUCUCCUCCUACUGGAAGAGCUCCACAUAAGGGACUGUCCUUUAAUGGAAGAAGUUGUACGUGAGGAGGGCAAAAGUGAUGGAAAUAUCAUUAACAUGUCCAAAUUACGAAAAAUGAGCUUAAUUAAAUUGCCAAGACUCGUACAUUUUUACAAGGACAAGAUUCCCUAUGCGCAAAUUCAACCUCUGUUUGACAGAAUGGUAUGCUUUGCUUACCCCUCAUCAAUCAUCAUCAUCAUAUUAAUAAUAUUACUUACACUGUGUAAUGAUUUCAGGCAAAGUCAAUAAACUAUUUUGCACAUAAUUGAUUCUUUUUGGUUACUUCUUUAUGUCAAUAUAUUUGUUUUAAGGGAUUAAAGUUCGGAACUUGUAAUCUUUACAUUGUAUCAUGUACUCUCACAAGUAAUAAUGGCACUUGGAGUAAACUUUGGAAAUAAGAACCUAAACAAACACCCUCGGAACUUGUAAUCUUUACAUUGUAUCAUGUACUCUCACAAGUAAUAAUGGCACUUGGAGUAAACUUUGGAAAUAAGAACCUAAACAAACACCCGUCACGUAUAAAAAAAUAUGUUUACGCUGUUCAUGUAAUAUAAUUUUAAGAUUUUUAAUACAGUAGUAACUUUUUAUUACAAGUAGCACUUGGUUACAGUGUCCUUUCUGUUCUCUGAUGGUAUGCCUUUCACUGACUAUUUGAGCAGGUUGCAUUCCCUUCCUUGGAAAUGUUGGAUAUCAGUGGUUUGGAAGACAUAACUGACAUUUGGGGAGAUAAUCAUGACAAUGCUUCCUCCUUUUCCCAACUGAAGACCCUGAAAGUAAAAUUCUGUAAUAAGCUUAAAAAUGUGAUCCCACCUGCCACGUUGCGUAGUUCACUCACCUCUGAAGUUGACACUCAUGGAAGCCACACAGAUUUGGUUACUGGCAGAGCUCCCGAAGGACUUGUGAAGGCCGUGGUUUCUCAUAAUCCAUACAAAAAAUUACAAAUUUUUUUGAAGAAAAC
rnacentral:lncRNA from 1 species